ACCAGACUCCUACGGGAGGCAGCAGUGGGGGAUAUUGCACAAUGGGGGGAACCCUGAUGCAGCGACGCCGCGUGGGUGAAGAAGCGCCUCGGCGCGUAAAGCCCUGUCAGCAGGGAAGAAAAUGACGGUACCUGAAGAAGAAGCCCCGGCUAACUACGUGCCAGCAGCCGCGGUAAUACGUAGGGGGCAAGCGUUAUCCGGAUUUACUGGGUGUAAAGGGGGCGCAGACGGCGAUGCAAGCCAGGAGUGAAAGCCCGGGGCCCAACCCCGGGACUGCUCUUGGAACUGCGUGGCUGGAGUGCAGGAGGGGCAGGCGGAAUUCCUGGUGUAGCGGUGAAAUGCGUAGAUAUCAGGAGGAACACCGGUGGCGAAGGCGGCCUGCUGGACUGCGACUGACGUUGAGGCCCGAAAGCGUGGGGAGCAAACAGGAUUAGAUACCCCUGUAC
rnacentral:rRNA from 1 species